rnacentral:tRNA from 1 species
GGGGCAAUAGCUCAGUUGGUCAGAGCAGCGGACUCAUAACCCGUCGGUCCCUGGUUCAAGUCCAGGUUGCCCCA